rnacentral:lncRNA from 1 species
GGGGUGUGAUUUGAUAAAUGGAUAAGAUGACAACGUCACUAGAUAUCCUGGGAGAUGGUGGACGGACCGGGUUCAUAGGGAACCCUACCGUGAACGUUUUCUCAUACCGGACGGGGUAUGGAGAUUUUAAUAUUUUGGCGCCCAUACCGAAUGGGGUAUGGGGACGGCCCACUUCACCCUCAUACCAGACAGGGUAUUGAGAU